rnacentral:rRNA from 1 species
GGCAGGCGAGUCCUGGGCUAGGGAGGGGCAGACGAGACGCCAAAAAUAAGAAGCGGCGAAGGCGACGAUCAAAUCGGCAGAGAGAGGGGGGGAGGGAGGGGGAGGAGCGGAGGAGGCGGCUUCGACCCGCGCCGCGGUCCGUGGGGAGGCAUGGAGGCGAACGGGCGCGGCGGGGACAAUGACGCCGCGCGGGCGCCGCUCCUGGCGGGGCGGCGGUGGAACUCGGUGGGGUCGAUGCGCGGGGAGUUCGUGUCGCGGCUCCCCAAGAAGGUGCUCGACGCCGUCGACCCGGAGAGGCCCUCCCACGUCGACUUCUCCCGCUCCAAGGGCCUCCUGGAAGGAGAGAAAGAAUACUACGAGAAACAAUUUGCCACCUUGAGAUCCUUUGAGGAAGUUGACUCUAUAGAAGAAUCCAAUGUAAUAAGUGAAGAAGAGGAGCUCAUGGAGCAAAGGCAGAGUGAAUUUGCUAUGAAGAUAUCAAAUUAUGCAAAUGUUGUUCUCUUGGCAUUGAAGAUAUAUGCCACAGUUAAAAGUGGGUCAAUUGCUAUUGCUGCAUCAACACUUGAUUCAUUGCUCGACCUCAUGGCUGGUGGUAUCCUUUGGUUCACACAUCUCUCAAUGAAGAGCAUCAACGUCUACAAGUAUCCCAUUGGUAAAUUGAGGGUACAACCAGUAGGCAUUAUCAUCUUCGCAGCUGUUAUGGCUACUUUAGGAUUCCAAGUAUUUCUUCAAGCAGUUGAAAAGCUGGUAGUGAACGUGACUCCAGAUAAAUUGUCCCCACCACAACUCAUGUGGCUAUAUUCAAUCAUGAUCUUUGCAACAGUAGUUAAGCUAGCCCUGUGGUUCUACUGCCGGACCUCUGGUAACAACAUAGUCCGCGCCUAUGCUAAGGAUCAUUAUUUUGAUGUGGUCACGAAUGUCGUUGGUUUGGCUGCUGCUGUUCUCGGUGACAUGUUUUACUGGUGGAUUGACCCAGUUGGUGCAAUCGUCCUUGCAGUCUAUACAAUUACAAACUGGUCUGGAACAGUGUGGGAAAAUGCAGUAUCGCUAGUAGGUGAAUCAGCUCCCCCAGAAAUGCUGCAGAAGUUGACAUACCUAGCUAUCAGACAUGACCCUCAAAUUAAGCGUGUUGAUACAGUUCGGGCAUACACCUUUGGGGUGCUUUACUUUGUGGAGGUCGAUAUUGAGCUCCCGGAGGACUUGCCACUCAAGGAGGCGCAUGCCAUUGGAGAAUCACUCCAGAUAAAGAUCGAGGAACUUCCAGAAGUCGAGCGGGCAUUCGUUCACCUUGAUUUCGAGUGUGACCACAAGCCAGAGCACUCGAUCCUCAGCAAGCUUCCUAGCAGCCAGCCUUGAUUACCAUCCGAAUUCACUGUGGAAAACGCAAGAUGUUGGAUAUUUUGCUUGCCGUGCAGGAUUCGCUACAGUACUUGGUGUCUUGCAUUGUUGGCCAUCUAAAUGAGAUAAGCACCAGCGUUGGAGACUAUAGACUUGUUUCGCGGAGCCCUCUAAAUGUCGUGUUUCGAGUAAAAGUAGGUUAUUUUUGCUUCUUGAAGCUGUCAUUGUUUGUCUGCGAUGAGGGCUGCAAUGUGGAAAUGUUUGCUACAAAAAGAAAGCAAGCGAUUUUUGUGUGCUCAAAAUCAGUUUUGUGAACUAGGGUCGCAAGGAGCGAGCUAGCCCACCCGGGCUCGAGUCCUAAGUGGACCGUGGUGCUUAGAGAUUUCUGCUAUAAAAAUAUACCUCCAAGGGUUAGUUCUGAAUGGUUUUGUUUUUCUUUAACUUAGUAUGCCGCUCUUUUACUUGUGUGGUUUGUUCUAAGAAAAAGAACAUUUGAAAAAUGAUACACUAUCAACUUCGUUUGUAAAUAGGUCAUGUUUUAGACCUUUACGUGGUAUCCAACAUGUGUUUAUGAAAAUUUGUAUGUUUGUGAAAUUUUCCUGAACUUCUACAAUAUUUUCAUAUAUAUAUUAGCG